GCAUCCGAUUCUGUGAUUGUUCUGUUUAUUUCCUAGUAUUUAAUGAUGGGGAACCUUUUUCUCUCAUGCAUAUGCUAUAAUAUUUGCAGGUGCCUCUGUUGUGAAAUAUAGUGAAACCUCCAAUGCAGGAGCACACCUGUGCAUGUUUGGACUUUGCUGGGAAUAUGCAUGCUCCCUGUAUGUCGUUUCCAGUGGGAUAAUGACCAAGAAAACUACUGAGCCAUGGAUGGAUUGCAGGGUUACAUCAUGAUAAAGCUGUUCAGAGUCAUCUACCCUCUUGCUGUGAUGCUGGCUCACAUUUCCAAAGCAGAGCUGCAAACAGAAGAGAUCAUGAAUGCUCCGAAGAACUUUGCUAUCUAUGAUAUGAAAGAUGCUUCUGAAGAGGAAAUAAUUUCCUCCUUGGGAAAACUCAUGUACAACCAGGAUGGGUCCCCCAAGCACACUUUCCAGCUGGAGGACUCCUGGUGGUGGAAGCGGGAAGAGGCGAGAGUGAAAAAGGAGAAGAUUUAACGGAGGAGAAAGGAAAGUAUUUUCACUGAACAUGCUACUUGUCACUUACUGUUAAUACAGCCACCAAAGAUCUCAGUGCUUUGAAACUGUUCUCAGUUAUAAGUUGCAAUAUAUUGUUGCUUUCCUCACAUAAGUUAUUUUUCACCUUUCUUCAAGCGUGUCAAUGCUGCUUUAGAAGAUCAGUAUGGAAAACUUCUGCAACUACACCAUCUGGUUUCAGUUUUCAUUAAUUUGGUGUCAGCCAAGAUCCUACAGUCCAGAUGAUUAAAAAGGACAGAGCUAAACUGCUGCAUUUUAGGAAUUUAAGCCUACCUCUUCUCCUGUUAAAUUCUAUUCUUUUCAAAAUGAGCUUUUUUUUUUCCCAAAAGUGGAACAUAAAACAAAUGCUCACAACUUUUAUUAGUGAAGCAAAAU
rnacentral:lncRNA from 1 species